rnacentral:rRNA from 1 species
CACUCCUGCGGGAGGCAGCAGUGGGGAAUAUUGGACAAUGGGCGCAAGCCUGAUCCAGCCAUGCCGCGUGAGUGAUGAAGGCCCUAGGGUUGUAAAGCUCUUUCACCGGAGAAGAUAAUGACGGUAUCCGGAGAAGAAGCCCCGGCUAACUUCGUGCCAGCAGCCGCGGUAAUACGAAGGGGGCUAGCGUUGUUCGGAAUUACUGGGCGUAAAGCGCACGUAGGCGGAUCGAUCAGUCAGGGGUGAAAUCCCAGGGCUCAACCCUGGAACUGCCUUUGAUACUGUCGAUCUGGAGUAUGGAAGAGGUGAGUGGAAUUCCGAGUGUAGAGGUGAAAUUCGUAGAUAUUCGGAGGAACACCAGUGGCGAAGGCGGCUCACUGGUCCAUUACUGACGCUGAGGUGCGAAAGCGUGGGGAGCAAACAGGAUUAGAUACCCGGGUAGUCC